rnacentral:rRNA from 1 species
GACGAACGCUGGCGGCGUGCUUAACACAUGCAAGUCGAACGGAAAGGCCCUGCUUUUGUGGGGUGCUCGAGUGGCGAACGGGUGAGUAACACGUGAGUAACCUGCCCUUGACUUUGGGAUAACUUCAGGAAACUGGGGCUAAUACGGGAAAGGAGCUCCUGCUGCAUGGGGGGGGUUGGAAGGUUUCGGCGGUUGGGGAUGGACUCGCGGCUAAUCAGCUUGUGGGUGGGGUAGUGGCUUACCAAGGCUUUGACGGGUAGCCGGCCUGAGAGGGUGACCGGCCACAUUGGGACUGAGAUACGGCCCAGACUCCUACGGGAGGCAGCAGUGGGGAAUAUUGCACAAUGGGCGGAAGCCUGAUGCAGCAACGCCGCGUGCGGGAUGACGGCCUUCGGGUUGUAAACCGCUUUCGCCUGUGACGAAGCGUGAGUGACGGUAAUGGGUAAAGAAGCACCGGCUAACUACGUG